rnacentral:rRNA from 1 species
CCUACGGGAUGCAGCAGUGGGUAAUAUUUCACAAUGGGGGAAACCCUGAUGCAGCCACGCCGCGUGAGUGAAGACGUAAUUCGUUAUGUAAAACUCUAUCAGCAUGGAAGUAAAUGACGGUACCUGAGUAAGAAGCCCCGGCUAACUACGUGCCAUCAGCCGCGGUAAUACGUAGGGGGCAAGCGUUAUCCGGAUUCACUGGGUGUAAAGGGAGCGUAGACGGGAGUGCAAGUCUGGAGUGAAAGGCGGGGUCGCAACCCCCGGACUGCUCUGGAAACUGGACGGCUGGAGUGCAGGAGAGGUAAGUGGAAUUCCUAGUGUAGCGGUGAAAUGCGGAGAGAUUAGGAGGAACACCAGUGGCGAAGGCGGCUGACUGGACUGUAACUGACGUUGAGGCUCGAAAGCGUGGGGAGCAAACAGGAUUAGAUACCCGGGUAGUC